GGAACCUGCGGCUUAAUUUGACUCAACACGGGAAAACUUACCAGGUCCAGACAUAGUGAGGAUUGACAGAUUGAGAGCUCUUUCUUGAUUCUAUGGGUGGUGGUGCAUGGCCGUUCUUAGUUGGUGGGUUGCCUUGUCAGGUUGAUUCCGGUAACGAACGAGACCUCAACCUGCUAAAUAGUCACGAUCGAUUUUUUCGGUCGGCCGACUUCUUAGAGGGACUGUUGGCGACUAGCCAAUGGAAGUUUGAGGCAAUAACAGGUCUGUGAUGCCCUUAGAUGUUCUGGGCCGCACGCGCGUUACACUGAUGCAUUCAACGAGCCUAUCCUUGACCGAGAGGUCCGGGUAAUCUGCGAAACUGCAUCGUGAUGGGGAUAGAUUAUUGCAAUUAUUAAUCUUCAACGAGGAAUGCCUAGUAAGCGCAAGUCAUCAGCUUGCGUUGAUUACGUCCCUGCCCUUUGUACACACCGCCCGUCGCUCCUACCGAUUGGAUGUGCUGGUGAAGCGUCCGGAUUGGAAACAGGUGACGGUCCGCCGCUGCCUGUUCCCGAGAAGUUCGUUAAACCCUCCCAUCUAGAGGAAGGAGAAGUCGUAACAAGGUUUCCAGUGGUACGCUGAGAGAUGGUCCUUCCGUCAAGUUUCACGUACUGAAGCCUUAGCCGCCUGUCCAACAGGUUCUCGCCGCGACUUGCACAACACAAACAAGGAGCGAGUUAAAGGCUAGUCAGCUGGGUUGGCUGGCAACACCGUCAAAUUGCGGGAACACCCUAAGAGCUCUCGAACACCAAGCAGGCCGCUGAGAGGCGUCUGUGGCCGGGUUAACGACCCCGGGUAAGGUAACAGCGUCGAGAGAUGAUGCCUCACCAGAGGCUGAAAUGGGUCAUCCGCAGCCAAGUCCCUCCGCAACUGCUAAGCGGUUGCAGGGAUGCUGUUCACAGACUAAAUGAUGGUGGGUUCGUCCGCAGGGCGAGCUUAAGAUAUAGUCGGGUCGCCUUGGAGACAGGGCAUCGAAUCGCAGAGUACUUCACCGUUCCGUAGGUGAACCUGCGGAAGGAUCAUUGAAUCAAUCAAAUACACACCGUGAACUCAUUGUCGUCUCCGCUUGGGCCCUUGACCGGGAACAGGCGGGCGUCGGUGGCUUAACAGCCAUGCGGCGGGCUUCACGCGCCGGCUUCACAGCCGACCGUGCGGUUGACCUACUUAACCCAACAAACACCAAAUCAAUCAAUCUGAAACAGCUUGCUGUCGGCCUGUCCGGCAUGCAACUUAAGAAAUGACAACUCUCAACAACGGAUAUCUUGGCUCCCGCAUCGAUGAAGAACGCAGCGAAAUGCGAUACGUAGUGUGAAUUGCAGAAUUCCGUGAAUCAUCGAAUCUUUGAACGCAUAUUGCGCUCGAGACCUCGGUCAAGAGCAUGUCUGGCUCAGCGUCGGCCCACCCCCUCAUUAACCACUUACCUUGUGGAAGAGGCAAGACGGAUCUGGCCGUCUGUGUGCUCCUCGAGAGAACAGGGUCGGCUGAAGAACAGAGGCUUGAGCAUGGUCCCGCUGAAAGGGCCCCAGCUUGGUAGGUAGCACACGCUGCAUGCCGCUGUCACCCCCAGGAACCUGUGAUGUAAAGCCGGCAGGAAUCGGUGGCUCACGCCCCGAACUCUUACAUUCGACCUGAGCUCAGGCAAGACUACCCGCUGAACUUAAGCAUAUCAAUAAGCGGAGGAAAAG
rnacentral:rRNA from 1 species